CCUACGGGAGGCAGCAGUGGGGAAUAUUGGGCAAUGGGCGCAAGCCUGACCCAGCAAUGCCGCGUGAAGGAAGAAGGCUUUCGGGUUGUAAACUUCUUUGACAGGGGAAGAGCAGAAGACGGUACCCUGAAAACAAGCCACGGCUAACUACGUGCCAGCAGCCGCGGUAAUACGUAGGUGGCAAGGGUUGUCCGGAUUUACUGGGUGUAAAGGGCGUGUAGCCGGGAAGGCAAGUCAGAUGUGAAAUCCGGAGGCUCAACCUCCGAAUUGCAUUUGAAACUGUUUUUCUUGAGUACUGGAGAGGCAGACGGAAUUCCUUGUGUAGCGGUGAAAUGCGUAGAUAUAAGGAGGAACACCAGUGGCGAAGGCAGCUUACCAAACUACGACUGACGUUGAGGCACGAAAGCGUGGGGAGCAAACAGGAUUAGAUACCCUUGUAGUC
rnacentral:rRNA from 1 species